rnacentral:lncRNA from 1 species
CACGGGUGCGAUAAAGAUCCCGCUAAAGGGCUCCGUGGCGUACAGGCCUGGGCGCGACGACGUCUCAAACUCGUUGAGCAGGGUGCCCUCGCCGGGAGCCAGCGUGAUCACAGUGCCGGGGACGAUGAUACUGCUGAACCCGAUCGCCGCCAGCGUCGGACCCGGCGGUCCGGGCGGUCCCGGAGGACCUCUCUCGCCUGGUGUGCCCUGCGCACCCUGCGGUCCUGUCGGUCCCUGUAUGCCUGGAGGUCCUGCAGGUCCGGGUGGACCCGAUGGACCCGCGAUGCCGACGACAGACGUGCCGGGCGGGCCGGGCGGACCUGGCAGCGCACGUGCGCCGAGCCCCUGCACGAUACACGGGAUCGCGCACACCGCACUGCCCUGGCACGCGUGCGUCUCAAGGAUCGUGUCGUCGCCGUGAUCGUGAUCCUCAUGCAACACUGUGGGCCGCUCCUGCGCCAGUUGUCGGUGUCGACACGACGGCGUUGGCGUCGUCUGCCGCCUCGGGCACCACGGCGGUCCGCACGCAAAUGACAUGGCACACGCCCGAACCGAAGAGCCGACAGCGCAAAUGGAAGUCAAACCUUGAUGUGAAAGAGUGGCAUUUUUACGCCCGCGCGACACGUCAGAGGCGCCUCUGCACAGACAAGACAGACCGCGCCCGCCGUGCUUUCCCGGCGCGUUGUCGCUCCAUCUUUUUUUCCGCGUGCUCUGCCAAGGCGGCGUGCCUGGGCCACACACACACGCAAGGUUUAUGGCGGUGCGGCGCCAUCUUUGUCUCUGCCGGCGAGCGUGUCUCAUAACACAGUCGCUGUUGGCGUAUUUGGCAUUUCCUUCUUUUUUUAUUCACUGUCAUUUGGGAGGAGGAGACAACAUGGCGCCAAAAGAGAAAAAAGACGCGACAGCGAGCGCGGACGCCGAAAGACGCCGCGCACACAAAAGACAAAAGAGGGCAA